rnacentral:tRNA from 1 species
GCCGAGGUGGCGGAAUUGGCAGACGCGCAUGGUUUAGGACCAUGUCCGCCGAAAGCGGGUGGAGGUUCGACCCCUCUCCUCGGCA